AUAAAUAUAAAAAAUAUUAGAAAUAAAAAGAUUUGUGUUCAUUGUGAAUAUGAUGUUAAAAGAAAUGCGAACAAAAGUGAGAGAGACAUGUACUUAUUUUUUUGUGAGAGAAAGUUGUGCGCGCAUAGACACUGUACCACACCAUUCAAGAUAAUUAACAGAAACUGGGCAUAAACAUAGGCCAAGUUCAAAUCAAAAUAUGUACCAGUGAAGCCAAAUCAAACAAACGAAUAUGUUUAGCCAAC
rnacentral:lncRNA from 1 species